rnacentral:rRNA from 1 species
GACUUAGGGCGCGAGCGUUGUCCGGAUUUAUUGGGCGUAAAGAGCUCGUAGGCGGCUUGUUGCGUCGACCGUGAAAACCCGCGGCUUAACUGCGGGCUUGCGGUCGAUACGGGCGGGCUGGAGUUCGGUAGGGGAGACUGGAAUUCCUGGUGUAGCGGUGAAAUGCGCAGAUAUCAGGAGGAACACCGGUGGCGAAGGCGGGUCUCUGGGCCGAUACUGACGCUGAGGAGCGAAAGCGUGGGGAGCGAACAGG